AUUAAAAUAGCUUAAUAAGAGUAUUGCAUUGAAGCUGCAAAGGUGGUUGUUUAUCUUUUAAUA
rnacentral:tRNA from 1 species